rnacentral:rRNA from 1 species
GCAUAUCAAUAAGCGGAGGAAAAGAAACUAACAAGGAUUCCCCUAGUAACUGCGAGUGAAGCGGGAAAAGCUCAAAUUUAAAAUCUGGCGGUCUCUGGCCGUCCGAGUUGUAAUCUAGAGAAGUGAUGCCCGCGCUGGACCGUGUACAAGUCUCCUGGAAUGGAGCGUCAUAGAGGGUGAGAAUCCCGUCUCUGACACGGACUACCAGGGCUUUGUGGUACGCUCUCAAAGAGUCGAGUUGUUUGGGAAUGCAGCUCUAAAUGGGUGGUAAAUUCCAUCUAAAGCUAAAUAUUGGCGAGAGACCGAUAGCGAACAAGUACCGUGAGGGAAAGAUGAAAAGAACUUUGGAAAGAGAGUUAAACAGUACGUGAAAUUGCUGAAAGGGAAACGCUUGAAGUCAGUCGCGUCGGCCGGGAAUCAGCUUCGCUCUUGCGUGGUGUACUUUCUGGUUGACGGGUCAGCAUCAAUUUUGACUGCUGGAAAAAGGCUUAGGGAAUGUGGCAGCUUCGGCUGUGUUAUAGCCCUUGGUCACAUACAGCGGUUGGGAUUGAGGAACUCAGCACGCCGCAAGGCCGGGUUUCGACCACGUUCGUGCUUAGGAUGCUGGCAUAAUGGCUUUAAGCGACCCGUCUUGAAACACGGACCAAGGAGUCUAACAUGCCUGCGAGUGUUUGGGUGGUAAACCCGAGCGCGUAAUGAAAGUGAAAGUUGAGAUCCCUGUCGUGGGGAGCAUCGACGCCCGGACUUGAACUUUUGUGACGGAUCCGCGGUAGAGCAUGUAUGUUGGGACCCGAAAGAUGGUGAACUAUGCCUGAAUAGGGUGAAGCCAGAGGAAACUCUGGUGGAGGCUCGUAGCGAUUCUGACGUGCAAAUCGAUCGUCAAAUUUGGGUAUAGGGGCGAAAGACUAAUCGAACCAUCUAGUAGCUGGUUCCUGCCGA